rnacentral:tRNA from 1 species
CCCUUAAAAGUCCCGGCAGCA